rnacentral:rRNA from 1 species
GAGUUUGAUCAUGGCUCAGAACGAACGCUGGCGGCAUGCCUAACACAUGCAAGUCGAACGAACUCUUCGGAGUUAGUGGCGCACGGGUGCGUAACGCGUGGGAAUCUGCCCUUGGGUACGGAAUAACUCAGAGAAAUUUGUGCUAAUACCGUAUAAUGACUUCGGUCCAAAGAUUUAUCGCCCAAGGAUGAGCCCGCGUAAGAUUAGCUAGUUGGUGGGUAAAGGCCUACCAAGGCUACGAUCUUUAGCUGGUCUGAGAGGAUGAUCAGCCACACUGGGACUGAGACACGGCCCAGACUCCUACGGGAGGCAGCAGUGGGGAAUAUUGGACAAUGGGCGAAAGCCUGAUCCAGCAAUGCCGCGUGAGUGAUGAAGGCCUUAGGGUUGUAAAGCUCUUUUACCCGGGAUGAUAAUGACAGUACCGGGAGAAUAAGCUCCGGCUAACUCCGUGCCAGCAGCCGCCGU